UCCCGCCUUCAAUCUUCAAUCGUUUUCAGCAUUUAGUGCCGCCAGCGGAAAUUUAAAGCUGUAGUAAUGGGCCCGGUAACCCAUAAAGAAAGCUAAGCCCAAAAUUGAAAACAUUGGGAAUAAUCACUGAACUUAACCCAAUAAAAGAUGGGCUUCUCUUGAGCUCUUGAUGAUAAAAGUUUUCAAAAACCCUAAUUUGAGGUUAGGGUUUUAGAUCUGUCUCUAAUAGCGCGCACACCCGAGAGAAGUAGAAGCGUCUUCGAUUGCAAGGGCGAAGAUGUUUCCCGGAAUGUUCAUGAGGAAGCCGGAUAAGGCGGAGGCGUUGAAGCAGCUCAAGACCCACGCGGCAAUGUUCGGAGUUUGGGUUGCUGUCAUUCGGGUCACACCUUACGUUCUCCAUUAUUUCUCCGAUAGCAAAGAAGAACUCAAGCUCGAACUCUAAUUUCCUUCACAGGUAAAAAAUUUAUAUGUUAACUAAACGGUGUUAUGGUCCAGUUCUCUGCCUACGCAGGAACUUUGUGUAUGUAUGUCUACGUAUGCAUCUGUAUUGAAAUGAAAUCGUUAUUAUUUUCUAUGAAUUAUGUAUAGUCUAUCUUGAUUACGAGCAAGACUUAUUUUUUUUAACUGGACUGAUUAUUUCAUGAUCAACUAUAGGUAAAAUUACAUAUUCGUUUCCUAGUGUGUGAUCAGACGUGCUUGAAUAAGGGGAUGCAGAUGACUCAUUUAUUUGUAAACCAAUCUAAUUUAUAGGUAGGUGGUAUCUUGUUUUGAGAUGAACUUGUUACUGGAAUUAACGUGAAAAAAGGGAUUUGCUAGACUGUUGGUUUUCUGGUCUUGUAUAUAAUGUGCUUUUUUGGACGAUAAAGGUUUGUAUUCCUAAGAUGCAAAUAUUGCCUAAUCAUUAUCUUGUUAUUGGAGGUGAAAUGGAAGUUUGUGCUUUGGACUGCCGCCCUAACGGGGGAUUUUUCUAAAUGGUCUAUCACUAUUCAUUUUUGCUAAAAUGCCUAUAUUACCCUUAAUGAAAUGGCUUGUCAUAUUUUGCACAAAAUAUCCUAAUUUAUUGGAAUGUUCCAAAAUUCUUCUAUUUCUCUUAUUUCGAAUUUUAAUAUAUAGUUUCAUCCUUUGAUCUAGUAAAUUAGUAUAAUCUGUAAUAUAAUUGUCAUAUAAUUCUUUAAGAUUAUCAUAUUCCUUAGAUGAUAUAUCC
rnacentral:lncRNA from 1 species